AUGAAAGACCUUGUGCACCAACUCCUGCAAGGGGCGUCUCCACGAGAAUGGUUUCUCUUGCUCUUCUUCCUCUUUGUGCUAGUCCUUGUACACUACUCGUUGACUAGGUUCGCUGCAAAGAGAGCAGACAGACAGCAGGUAAACCGCCGUCUCCCACCUUCACCCAUGGCGCUGCCCAUCAUCGGCCAUCUCCACCUUGUCGGCUCCAUACCGCACGUCUGCCUCCGUGAUCUCGCCAGGAAGCAUGGCCCCGACCUCAUGCUCCUCCGGCUUGGCACCGUGCCUACUCUCAUCGUAUCGUCACCGCGUGCCGCUGAGGCCGUGCUGCGCGCGCACGACCACAUCCUCGCAUCACGCCCACACUCUGUUGUCGCCGAUAUCAUGAUGUACGGCAUGUUGGACGUUGGCUUCGCCCCCUAUGGUGAGUACUGGCGGCAGACAAGGAAGCUCGUCACCACCCACCUUCUGAGUGCCAAAAAGGUGCAGUCGUUCCGCAGCGCCUGUGAGGAGGAGGUGAGCAUUGCCAUGGCCAAGAUCAAUGAGGCAGUCGCAACAGGUUCAACGGUGGACAUGAGUGAGCUGCUAAGCUCGUUCACAAAUGACAUUGCGUGUCGCGCUAUAUCAGGCAAGUUCUUCCGAAAAGAAGGGCGUAACAAGCUGUUCCAGGACCUGAUCAAUGAUAACACACGACUGCUAGGAGGAUUCAUCCUUGAGUACUUCCGUGUCCUGGCUAAGGUUAGUGUGCUGAAGUGGGUUGUCUAUUCAAAAGCCGAGAGAAUGAAGGAGAGAUGGGCUGAUCUACUUGAAAAGGUGAUUGAUGACCAUGAUAGCAAGGACAGCGUGAUGUCUGAUAAGAAAGAGGUUGCUGAUUUUAUCGAUGUUCUGCUAUCUGUUCAACAAGAGUAUGAUCUAACAAGAGAGCACAUCAUAGCUAUGCUGGCAGACAUAUUUUUUGGAGCAACAAGCACAUCAUCUCAAACCCUUGAGUUCACCCUUGUUGAACUUGUAAAGAGGCCACACAUGAUGAGGAAGUUACAAGACGAGGUCAGGAGUAACAGCAUACAUCGGGGAGAAGGAGCAUUCAGCAAAGUCAACCAGAACAACAUGAUUUACCUCAAAGCAGUCAUAAAAGAAUCGCUCCGGCUACAUCCUGUGGCGCCUCUCCUUUCUCCGCAUCUUGCAAUGGCUGAUUGUUGCAUCGAUGGUUACACAGUUCCGAGUGGCACACAAAUAUUUGUUAAUGCUUGGGCUAUUGGCAGAGACGCGAGCUCCUGGGAGGACGCAGAUGAAUUCAUGCCUGAAAGGUUUUUAGAUGACGGCAAAGCAGCACAUGUCAAUUUCAAGGGAAAUGAUUUCCAAUUCUUGCCAUUUGGGGCAGGACGAAGGAUGUGCCCUGGAAUCAACUUUGCGGUUGACAGCAUUGAGAUCAUGUUGGCGACACUUAUGUACUAUUUUGAUUGGGAGCUACCCCAAGGGUUGGAACCAAAUGAUGUUGAUAUGACGGAGGUGUUUGGGCUAACAGUGCGCAGAAGGGAGAAGCUUCUCUUAGUUCCCAAAUUAUCUAGCCACCUACAUGGAUUGGAUAUUGCACCGUAA
rnacentral:rRNA from 1 species